GCUGGCUUAGCUCAGUUGGUAGAGCUACUGAUUUGUAAUCAGUGGGUCGGGGGUUCGAGUCCCUCAGCCAGCACCA
rnacentral:tRNA from 1 species